UACGAAGGGGGCUAGCGUUGUUCGGAAUCACUGGGCGUAAAGGGCGCGUAGGCGGCUUUAUAAGUCGGGGGUGAAAGCCUGUGGCUCAACCACAGAAUUGCCUUCGAUACUGUAUGGCUUGAGACCGGAAGAGGUAAGUGGAACUGCGAGUGUAGAGGUGAAAUUCGUAGAUAUUCGCAAGAACACCAGUGGCGAAGGCGGCUUACUGGUCCGGUUCUGACGCUGAGGCGGCGAAAAGCGUGGGGAGCAAACAGG
rnacentral:rRNA from 1 species